CACGACAGUGCGAUAGGGGGACUCCGAGUGCGAGGGCAUACAGUCCUCGCUUUUCUGUACCGUAAGGUGGUACAGGAACAAGGGCUGGGCAAGACCGGUGCCAGCCGCCGCGGUAAUACCGGCAGCCCGAGUGAUGGCCGAUAUUAUUGGGCCUAAAGCGUCCGUAGCCGGCCGGACAAGUCCGUUGGGAAAUCCACGCGCUCAACGCGUGGGUGUCCGGCGGAAACUGUUCGGCUUGGGGCCGGAAGACCCGAGGGGUACGUCCGGGGUAGGAGUGAAAUCCCGUAAUCCUGGACGGACCACCGGUGGCGAAAGCGCCUCGGGAAGACGGAUCCGACGGUGAGGGACGAAAGCUAGGGUCUCGAACCGGAUUAGAUACCCGGGUAGUCCUAGCCGUAAACGAUGCUCGCUAGGUGUG
rnacentral:rRNA from 1 species